UGUCUAUUAGGAGGAGCAAAACUUUGAACCUCGAGCGUCCCUCUCCCUUUGUCUCUCACACGCGCACGCACAGUCUGGCACACAGUUUGUUGGCGGAAAACAGCCUUUUGAAAGACAAGGAAAGCUGGGUUAAGUUCAUACACAUUGGUGGCUUCAGGUGACGUAACCCCACUGAGUUACUGUGAUUAGAGCAUCAAGAAAGUCUUAUCACACACAAAGCUACUGGUCCCAGCAUCCAGAUGAUGGUGCAAAUCUGUCAUCAGAAAGGGACCGCGGGAGAAAAUGGGAGCUAAUGAUCACAUAUAGUAUCAAAUUUACAACUUAUGACAAAAGAAUACAAUGGGGAAAGACUUAGAUUUGCUCAUAUGCAUUCAAACUUGUAUUUUUUCUAGAGCACUAAUUGAGUCAUUUCUUUAAGAAUUGAGAGGCUGGCCCUACAUUGUUUGGUGAUCAAUUAGAUCAAACCAUGGGCGACAAGUAUUAAUAUACUAAUAAUUAUAUGAUUUUGGAGUAACCCCAUUGGAAAAGGCCACUGACACUUGCCAAUAGCCUUUUAUAUAUGUAUGUAUGCAUGUGUAUACAUAUUAUAUAAUCAUGGACUUAGCUGAGUUGUUCGCACCUUGGAAUGAGGAUUAAAAAUAAAAAUAAAAACUUGGAAUAGUGAGUACAAUUUUUGAACCAUGGGGCAGUGUGUUGUUUAUCAUAAUAUGAUUCUGAUGCAUACUACAUGUUACCUUUUUUUAUAUGGCAGACCAUCUAUUCAAUUCAAUUAGGUCAUUUUUUUUUUUUUUUUUUUUUUUUUUUUUUUUU